AUCGAAAACUGAUCCUAUAACGUGGAAGAAUGAGUGAUCCGUUCCGUGCAGAUCGUGGCAGUGCCGAACUUGCCAAAAUUGGCCAAGGCUACGAGAAAUCUGGCUGCAGCGUAGGAAGAACUAGGGCAUCGAAGCAUCCUCCUCGCGACGGAAUUGUUUAGCUUUCAGCCCAGGCAUACACAUCAAGUAGGCAUCUGAAUUGCUAUUGAUUUGUUGUAAUCCGUGGAUACGAGCAUGGCGGGUGGAAAUUUCGUGCACAGAGUAGUUUCUUAUCUCGUGAAUGAGCUGCUUGUCGAUAGUCUUGCCAACAGCCGUACGUUUCAAAGGUUUGCUGUGAGGACGUCAAAACAAAUCGAGGAUAUAUCUACCAAGGCUGCGCAGAAGAAGCAAGAACUUGCGGAACAGGUGAAAGAUCUGUCCAAAAAUUUUGAGUCUUUCAAGAACCAGUAAUGCAGAGCGGAAUUCGCUACCGCAACAUGAUGUAAAUCCUUUUCCAAAAUCCAAAAUCCGUUUCCUCUUGUAGGCACAAAUGCAGCAGCUUUUCUUAUAAUAGCCAAAGAUGACCUCAAAGAAGUGUUUACUUACAGCCUUCUCUUUCCAUGUACUGAAUAAUUAUUUAUAACAGUAUUACUUUAGAUAUGUACUUAGAGAACUUUGGAUCAGACUUUUAUACAUGUCAUCAACUAAGCAGUAGCAAUUCAUUAAGUUUCGCCUUCAAUCCCGAAACAAAACAUGCCUUUUCUGCCAUUUGUAGCAGAUGAGAAUCGGAACUUGCUAAGGCCACGUUGAAGAGAUUCAUUUUGGCAUGUCAAGGCUGUAAUGGUUUUUAAUUAAACCAUGUUCAAGGGGAUUUUUUUUAUAUCGGUCAUGUUCGGGGUGUCAACGGGAUUGAUAGUGAGGCUGGAUUCUUCAUUUACUACAGGAACAUUGGUGUCGAGAUUUGAACUUCCAAAGAAGUAGAUGUUUUUAUCGUUACACUA